GACAAUAAAAUAAAUUAAAAUAUAUCAUGUAUUUUAGUGCUAUAAAUAUUUAAGUGUUUUUAGCAUUGUAUUAAUAUACAUUGAAUAUAUCUCAAUUCAUUUGUAAAACUUAAAAAUAAAAAUAUAUGGCUAAAAUUCUCAAAUUUCUUUAUGUUAUAGUUUUGUUUUUGUCCCUAUUCUUUCUUUCAGCGAAGGCUAUCCUUCCAUGCAAAACUGACGAAGAUUGUGACAAGGGGUUUGUUAGAGUUGACGGGAUUGCGUUUGAUGCCCAAGUUUUGUGCAUUGAAGACGAAUGUUGCUUGUUAAUGCCGAUAUAAGGAACAAAUAUAAAGAAAAAAUUAUGAAUAAUUUAUCUUAUGGUAGAAUAUUUCAUAAGUUGCCAUUUAAGAUUUAUGCUUCCAACCAAAAAUUGUAUUUUUAGAUUUUCUGAAAUUAUGACUUUGUUCUUUAAAAUAUUGACAAUGAAAUGCAAAAUACAAUGAAAAUUACAGCAAUGUAAUUUUUUUCA